rnacentral:rRNA from 1 species
AUGAACGCUGGCGGCGUGCCUAAUACAUGCAAGUCGAGCGAACAGACUAGGAGCUUGCUCCUCUGACGUUAGCGGCGGACGGGUGAGUAACACGUGGAUAACCUACCUAUAAGACUGGGAUAACUUCGGGAAACCGGAGCUAAUACCGGAUAAUAUAUUGAACCGCAUGGUUCAAUAGUGAAAGACGGUUUUGCUGUCACUUAUAGAUGGAUCCGCGCCGCAUUAGCUAGUUGGUAAGGUAACGGCUUACCAAGGCAACGAUGCGUAGCCGACCUGAGAGGGUGAUCGGCCACACUGGAACUGAGACACGGUCCAGACUCCUACGGGAGGCAGCAGUAGGGAAUCUUCCGCAAUGGGCGAAAGCCUGACGGAGCAACGCCGCGUGAGUGAUGAAGGUCUUCGGAUCGUAAAACUCUGUUAUUAGGGAAGAGCAAAUGUGUAAGUAACUAUGCACGUCUUGACGGUACCUAAUCAGAAAGCCACGGCUAACUACGUG